rnacentral:misc_RNA from 2 species
ACACCUCAACUCUCACGGUUCGCCGUGACGAGCUUGGACUUUGGAGGCUUUGCUGGCCUGUGGGUCGGCUCCUCUCAAAUGAAUCAGCUUACCGGUGUAUUGGUGGCGUCACAGGUGUGAUAACUAUCUACGCUUGCGGUCGCCCGCCAGACAACCUCUGCCAUCGUCGGAGGUUUGCCGGAGGCUCACAAACGUCUCCCGAGUGGAGACAGCCUUCUGAAC